GACGAACGCUGGCGGCGUGCUUAACACAUGCGAGUCGAACGGAAAGGCCCUGCUUGCAGGGUACUCGAGUGGCGAACGGGUGAGUAACACGUGGGUGAUCUGCCCUGCACUUCGGGAUAAGCCUGGGAAACUGGGUCUAAUACCGGAUAGGAGCCAUUUUUAGUGUGAUGGUUGGAAAGUUUUUUUCGGUGUAGGAUGAGCUCGCGGCCUAUCAGCUUGUUGGUGGGGUAAUGGCCUACCAAGGCGGCGACGGGUAGCCGGCCUGAGAGGGUGGACGGCCACAUUGGGACUGAGAUACGGCCCAGACUCCGACGGGAGGCAGCAGUGGGGAAUAUUGCACAAUGGGCGCAAGCCUGAUGCAGCGACGCCGCGUGGGGGAUGACGGCCUUCGGGUUGUAAACUCCUUUCGCUAGGGACGAAGCUUUUUGUGACGGUACCUAGAUAAGAAGCACCGGCUAACUACGUG
rnacentral:rRNA from 1 species